rnacentral:rRNA from 1 species
UUUGGUUAAGUUAGAAAGGGCGCACGGUGGAUGCCUUGACACUAGGAGUCGAUGAAGGACGGGACUAACGCCGAUAUGCUUCGGGGAGCUGUAAGUAAGCUUUGAUCCGAAGAUUUCCGAAUGGGGAAACCCACUAUACGUAAUGGUAUGGUAUCCUUAUCUGAAUACAUAGGGUAAGGAAGACAGACCCAGGGAACUGAAACAUCUAAGUACCUGGAGGAAGAGAAAGCAAAUGCGAUUUCCUGAGUAGCGGCGAGCGAAACGGAACAUAGCCCAAACCAAGAGGCUUGCCUCUUGGGGUUGUAGGACAUUCUAUACGGAGUUACAAAGGAACGAGGUAGACGAAGCGACCUGGAAAGGUCCGUCGUAGAGGGUAACAACCCCGUAGUCGAAACUUCGUUCUCUCUUGAAUGUAUCCUGAGUACGGCGGAACACGUGAAAUUCCGUCGGAAUCUGGGAGGACCAUCUCCCAAGGCUAAAUACUCCCUAGUGAUCGAUAGUGAACCAGUACCGUGAGGGAAAGGUGAAAAGCACCCCGGAAGGGGAGUGAAAGAGAUCCUGAAACCGUGUGCCUACAAAUAGUCAGAGCCCGUUAACGGGUGAUGGCGUGCCUUUUGUAGAAUGAACCGGCGAGUUACGAUCCCGUGCGAGGUUAAGCUGAAGAGGCGGAGCCGCAGCGAAAGCGAGUCUGAAUAGGGCGUUUAGUACGUGGUCGUAGACCCGAAACCAGGUGAUCUACCCAUGUCCAGGGUGAAGUUCAGGUAACACUGAAUGGAGGCCCGAACCCACGCACGUUGAAAAGUGCGGGGAUGAGGUGUGGGUAGCGGAGAAAUUCCAAUCGAACCUGGAGAUAGCUGGUUCUCCCCGAAAUAGCUUUAGGGCUAGCCUUAAGUGUAAGAGUCUUGGAGGUAGAGCACUGAUUGGACUAGGGGUCCUCAUCGGAUUACCGAAUUCAGUCAAACUCCGAAUGCCAAUGACUUAUCCUUAGGAGUCAGACUGCGAGUGAUAAGAUCCGUAGUCAAAAGGGAAACAGCCCAGACCGCCAGCUAAGGUCCCAAAGUGUGUAUUAAGUGGAAAAGGAUGUGGAGUUGCUUAGACAACUAGGAUGUUGGCUUAGAAGCAGCCACCAUUUAAAGAGUGCGUAAUAGCUCACUAGUCGAGUGACUCUGCGCCGAAAAUGUACCGGGGCUAAAUACACCACCGAAGCUGCGGAUUGAUACCGAAUGGUAUCAGUGGUAGGGGAGCGUUCUAAGGACAGUGAAGUCAGACCGGAAGGACUGGUGGAGUGCUUAGAAGUGAGAAUGCCGGUAUGAGUAGCGAAAGACGGGUGAGAAUCCCGUCCACCGAAUGCCUAAGGUUUCCUGAGGAAGGCUCGUCCGCUCAGGGUUAGUCAGGACCUAAGCCGAGGCCGACAGGCGUAGGCGAUGGACAACAGGUUGAUAUUCCUGUACCACCUCUUUAUCGUUUGAGCAAUGGAGGGACGCAGAAGGAUAGAAGAAGCGUGCGAUUGGUUGUGCACGUCCAAGCAGUUAGGCUGAUAAGUAGGCAAAUCCGCUUAUCGUGAAGGCUGAGCUGUGAUGGGGAAGCUCCUUAUGGAGCGAAGUCUUUGAUUCCCCGCUGCCAAGAAAAGCUUCUAGCGAGAUAAAAGGUGCCUGUACCGCAAACCGACACAGGUAGGCGAGGAGAGAAUCCUAAGGUGUGCGAGAGAACUCUGGUUAAGGAACUCGGCAAAAUGACCCCGUAACUUCGGGAGAAGGGGUGCUUUCUUAACGGAAAGCCGCAGUGAAUAGGCCCAAGCGACUGUUUAGCAAAAACACAGCUCUCUGCGAAGCCGUAAGGCGAAGUAUAGGGGGUGACACCUGCCCGGUGCUGGAAGGUUAAGGAGAGGGGUUAGCGUAAGCGAAGCUCUGAACUGAAGCCCCAGUAAACGGCGGCCGUAACUAUAACGGUCCUAAGGUAGCGAAAUUCCUUGUCGGGUAAGUUCCGACCCGCACGAAAGGUGUAACGAUUUGGGCACUGUCUCAACCAGAGACUCGGUGAAAUUAUAGUACCUGUGAAGAUGCAGGUUACCCGCGACAGGACGGAAAGACCCCGUGGAGCUUUACUGUAGCCUGAUAUUGAAUUUUGGUACAGUUUGUACAGGAUAGGCGGGAGCCUUUGAAACCGGAGCGCUAGCUUCGGUGGAGGCGCUGGUGGGAUACCGCCCUGACUGUAUUGAAAUUCUAACCUACGGGUCUUAUCGACCCGGGAGACAGUGUCAGGUGGGCAGUUUGACUGGGGCGGUCGCCUCCUAAAGUGUAACGGAGGCGCCCAAAGGUUCCCUCAGAAUGGUUGGAAAUCAUUCGUAGAGUGCAAAGGCAUAAGGGAGCUUGACUGCGAGACCUACAAGUCGAGCAGGGACGAAAGUCGGGCUUAGUGAUCCGGUGGUUCCGCAUGGAAGGGCCAUCGCUCAACGGAUAAAAGCUACCCCGGGGAUAACAGGCUUAUCUCCCCCAAGAGUCCACAUCGACGGGGAGGUUUGGCACCUCGAUGUCGGCUCAUCGCAUCCUGGGGCUGUAGUCGGUCCCAAGGGUUGGGCUGUUCGCCCAUUAAAGCGGUACGCGAGCUGGGUUCAGAACGUCGUGAGACAGUUCGGUCCCUAUCCGUCGUGGGCGUAGGAAAUUUGAGAGGAGCUGUCCUUAGUACGAGAGGACCGGGAUGGACGCACCGCUGGUGUACCAGUUGUUCUGCCAAGGGCAUAGCUGGGUAGCUAUGUGCGGAAGGGAUAAGUGCUGAAAGCAUCUAAGCAUGAAGCCCCCUCAAGAUGAGAUUUCCCAUAGCGUAAGCUAGUAAGAUCCCUGAAAGAUGAUCAGGUUGAUAGGUUCGAGGUGGAAGCAUGGUGACAUGUGGAGCUGACGAAUACUAAUAGAUCGAGGACUUAACCAUAUAA